UUUUAAUGGUCAGAUUACUCUUUCAGUCACAUGAAAUAAUGUUAUGAGUUAAAGUGAAAGAGCAAUUUACUUUUCACUCUCCAGUACAGUUCUAUGUGUAGGUGCUACUGCUAACAACGGGAAUCUUGCACCAACCAAAGUUUGGAAGUACAUUAUCAAAGACUUGGUCGUUACAUACUUUCCAAAUGCACCAAGUCUCCAAAUAGCAAUUUCCAUGGCAAACAGUUAGUUGAUCUAUUCGUUAACAAUCUCUAUCCCUUGAAUAAUUUGGUUGCCUUUUCUCCAUCAACAUUGCAAGGCAAAUGAAUAAUCCAAGGAAAAUACAACUAUAUUCUUUGACAUGAGCACUUGAGCCGGCAGAAGAUUUCUAGAGCACAUUGAAAUGGAAUAAAAGAUCCCUCAACUUUAAAUAUGCCCGCCAAAAGACCAAGGCACGCCAUGGAAUCAGGAGCCCUGCUGGAUUAGUAACAAUAGAUGUCAAUAAGGAAGCUCAUAGUUAUAGAAAAUGGCAACAAUUUUUUUUACGAAUAGAUCAACAAAAAGAAUAAAAAAGCAAUAGAUAUUACUAUUCCCAACAAAAAGAUUGAUCGGAUGACGUCAUGACAUGGGAGGAAAAAAGACAGAUGCAUCAAGUAGCAGAACGGGGCAAGAACACAGCCCACUUUAUUUUUUUGCAUGUAUUCUCAGCGUAGAUGAAUUAUACAAUUAGAAGAAGAAAAAAUACUACCAUGAGAUGGUACGUAAAAGAUCCCUUGCCAGACCAUAAGUAAAAGGCAACAAAAUUGUAAGUGAGAGUAAUAAACAUGGUCACAGAGGUUGAUUGCACCUAGAUUGGUAAUGGCUUAGUUCUCUACAGUAUUUCAUGAAGAUUUUGCCCCGCGUUACUCAAUAUGGG
rnacentral:lncRNA from 1 species